CUAGGAGGCUGUUUUGAGGUGUCUCUGAAGACUUCUCUGCUCCAGGCUGAACAACUCCAACUCUCUCAUCCUGUCGUCAUAGGAGAGGUACUCCAGCC